GAGAGACGUAAUUCAAGAGGAAACGCUUGAGCAAUUACUGAUGUUGUAAACUGGGAUCAGAAGACAUACAUGGUAUCGUAUCCCAGGCAAGGCACAGUGGCUCACACCUGUAAUCCCAGCACUUUGGGAGGCUGAAGAAGGCAGAUCACUUGAGGUCAGGAGUUCGAGACCAGCCUGGCUUACAUGGUGAAACCCAUCUCUACUGAACAUACAAAAAUUAGCUGGACA
rnacentral:lncRNA from 1 species